GACGAACGCUGGCGGCGUGCCUAAUACAUGCAAGUCGAGCGAGCGGCGGAGGGGUGAGUAACACGUAAGGAAACUACCGAUAAGCGGGGGACAACAUCCGGAAACGGGUGCAAAUACCGCAUACUUAUCGAUGGCCUUGCGGUGCAUUAGCUCGUUGGUGGGUUAACGGCUUACCAAGGCAAUGAUGCAUAGCCGACCUGAGGGGGUGAUCGGCCACACUGGGACUGAGACACGGCCCAGACUCCUACGGGAGGCAGCAGUAGGGAAUCUUCCGCAAUGGGCGCAAGCCUGACGGAGCAACGCCGCGUGAGUGAAGAAGGUUUUCGGAUCGUAAAGCUCUGUUGUAAGAGAAGCGGUAUCUAACCAGAAAGCCACGGCUAACUACGUGCCAGCCGCCGCGGUAAUAC
rnacentral:rRNA from 1 species